CAGCAGCCGCGGUAAUACCGGCGGCCCGAGUGGCGGUCACUAUUAUUGGGCUUAAAGCGUCCGUAGCCGGGUUGGGAAGGCCUCCGGGAAAUCUGGCCGCUUAACGGUCAGAAUGCCGGAGGAUACUCCCAGCCUAGGGAGCGGGAGAGGCCGAGGGGAUUCCCGGAGUAGGGGGGAAAUCCUAUAAUCCCGGGAGGACCACCUGUGGCGAAGGCGCUCGGCUGGAACGCGUCCGACGGUGAGGGACGAAGGCCAGGGGAGCAAACCGGAUUAGAUACCCGGGUAGUCCUGGCUGUAAACGAUGCGGACUUUGUGUCGGACAAGCUAUGAGCUUGUCCGGUGCCGGAGGGAAACCGUUAAGUCCGCCGCCUGGGGAGUACGGCCGCAAGGCUGAAACUUAAAGGAAUUGGCGGG
rnacentral:rRNA from 1 species